rnacentral:tmRNA from 3 species
GGGGAUGCUCAUAAUCGACAGCGUUCAUUGUCAUUCCAACUGCAAGCCGUCCCUCGUGGGGAUACGACGUUAAACUGGUUCCACAUUUACACAAAUGCCAAGUCAUUUGUCAGCAAGGUGAAGACUGCGUUUGCUAACACAUUCGCACCUUCCUUUGCGCCUGUUGUCGCCUAACCGUGACAACCAUCUCCACUUCUGAUUCCUCCUAGGGAGACCGGAGGUGCUACAUUCGGAGGACCAUGAUGAGGAUGUUUGGACUCAUCACGCGUACUAUCCAAGCUCGGGUAUGAAAAGCUUUUUCCUAUUUUGACUUCUCAUAUCGACAUGUUAAAAUAGGACAGCUUGGAGACGUUGGAUGGCUAGCGCGCUACACAGGGGUGUAAUGCCCCUCAUCUCCACCA